rnacentral:misc_RNA from 1 species
AAGUCGUAACAAGGUUUCCGUAGGUGAACCUGCGGAAGGAUCAUUAUUGAAUAACUUUGGCGUGGUUGUAGCUGGUCCUCUCGGGGGCAUGUGCUCGCCCGUCAUCUUUAUAUCUCCACCUGUGCACCUUUUGUAGACGUUGAAACUGGAUAGGAGAGGGACUUGUCCUUCAAGUUGAAGGAUUUUUCGGCGCUCUACGUUUUCAUAUACCCCAAAGAAUGUAACAGAAUGUAUCUUAUGGCUUUAUGCCUAUAAACUAUAUACAACUUUCAGCAACGGAUCUCUUGGCUCUC